AUACGGAGGAUCCGAGCGUUAUCCGGAUUUAUUGGGUUUAAAGGGUGCGCAGGCGGGGGAUUAGGUCGGCGGUGAAAUAUCAGGGCUCAACCUUGAGAGUGCCGUCGAAACCGGUUUUCUUGAGUGCGGAUGAAGUAGGCGGAAUUUGUGGUGUAGCGGUGAAAUGCGUAGAUAUCACAAAGAACACCGAUUGCGGAGGCAGCUUACUAAACCGCAACUGACGCUCAUGCACGAAGGCGUGGGGAUCAAACAGGAUUAGAUACCCUGGUAGUCCACGCAGUAAACGAUGAUUACUAGCUGUUUGCGAUACAAUGUAAGCGGCUGAGCGAAAGCGUUAAGUAAUCCACCUGGGGAGUACGUUCGCAAGAAUGAA
rnacentral:rRNA from 1 species